rnacentral:rRNA from 1 species
CCUACGGGAGGCAGCAGUGGGGAAUAUUGCACAAUGGGCGAAAGCCUGAUGCAGCAACGCCGCGUGAGGGAUGAAGGCCUUCGGGUUGUAAACCUCUUUUAGCAGGGAAGAAGCGAAAGUGACGGUACCUGCAGAAAAAGCACCGGCUAACUACGUGCCAGCAGCCGCGGUAAUACGUAGGGUGCAAGCGUUGUCCGGAAUUAUUGGGCGUAAAGAGCUCGUAGGCGGUUUGUCGCGUCUGCUGUGAUAACCUGAGGCUCAACCUCAGGCCUGCAGUGGGUACGGGCAAGCUAGAGUGCGGUAGGGGAGAUGGGAAUUCCUGGUGUAGCGGUGGAAUGCGCAGAUAUCAGGAGGAACACCAAUGGCGAAGGCACAUCUCUGGGCCGUAACUGACGCUGAGGAGCGAAAGCGUGGGGAGCGAACAGGAUUAGAUACCCUGGUAGUCCACGCCGUAAACGGUGGGUGCUAGUUGUGGGUUCCAUUCCACGGAAUCCGUGACGAAGUUAACACAUUAAGCACCCCGCCUGGGGAGUACGGUCGCAAGACUAAAACUCAAAGGAAUUGACGG